UACGAAGGGUGCAAGCGUUACUCGGAAUUACUGGGCGUAAAGCGUGCGUAGGCGGUUCGUUAAGUCUGUCGUGAAAUCCCCGGGCUCAACCUGGGAAUGGCGAUGGAUACUGGCGAGCUAGAGUGUGUCAGAGGAUGGUGGAAUUCCCGGUGUAGCGGUGAAAUGCGUAGAGAUCGGGAGGAACACCGGUGGCGAAGGCGGCAUCCUGGACCGGCAUUGACGCUGAGGAGCGAAAGCCAGGGGAGCAAACGGG
rnacentral:rRNA from 1 species